rnacentral:rRNA from 2 species
AACGUAGGAGACAAACGUUAUCCGGAGUUACUGGGCGUAAAGGGCGUGUAGGUGGUUCUGUAAGUCUGGCGUGAAAUUUCUCGGCUUAACCGAGGCAGGUCGUCGGAUACUGCAGGGCUAGAGGACGGUAGAGGCGUGUGGAAUUCCGGGUGUAGUGGUGAAAUGCGUAGAGAUCCGGAGGAACACCAGUGGCGAAGGCGACACGCUGGGCCGUACCUGACACUGAUGCGCGACAGCAUGGGGAGCAAACAGG